GCGGGAGUAGCUCAGUUGGUAGAGCGCAACCUUGCCAAGGUUGAGGGUCGCGAGUUCGAGACUCGUCUCCCGCUCCA
rnacentral:tRNA from 1 species